AGGUAGUGAAGGUCAUGGAGAAAUCAAAGGUUCUCAUGAAGGGAUUUUUUAAAAUUCUACUCUACAGUCAGUCCUUCGUAUGAAUAUAAUUUCUGCUUAAAGGAGCAAGUUAAGUGGCAUGUGCAAUGAUGACAUACUAUUCCUGGCCAACAAUCCAGUUUUGUUUCCCACGCCACAUUGCUAUUUGCAAAAAUUAUUGUGAUUCAGUAUUAAGGUACGUACCUUAUGUGUCUGUUACGAAUAUGAUUUUGAAUUUCGUUGCAAGGGAUGAGUAUGCCAUUAUUUUUGAACUUUAAGGUUCAAC